GAAGGUCAGGCUGAAGACCUUACCCGAUUAGCUGAGAGGUGGUGCAUGGCCGUCGUCAGUUCGUACUGUGAAGCAUCCUGUUAAGUCAGGCAACGAGCGAGACCCACGUCCACAGUUGCCAGCAUACCCUCCGGGGUGAUGGGUACACUGUGGAGACCGCCGCUGCUAAAGCGGAGGAAGGAGUGGGCAACGGUAGGUCAGUAUGCCCCGAAUCUCCCGGGCUACACGCGGGCUACAAUGGUUGGUACAAUGGGCAUCUACCCCGAAAGGGGAAGGAAAUCUCUUAAAGCCAAUCGUAGUUCGGAUUGAGGGCUGCAACUCGCCCUCAUGAAGCUGGAAUCCGUAGUAAUCGCGUUUCAACAGAACGCGGUGAAUACGUCCCUGCUCCUU
rnacentral:rRNA from 1 species